CUCUGUGCCAGCAGCCGCGGUAAGACAGAGGAUGCAAGUGUUAUUCGGAUUGAUUGGGCGUAAAGCGUCUGUAGGCGGUUUAGAAAGUCUUUUGUGAAAUACUUCAGCUCAACUGGAGCUCCGCAAAAGAAACUUCUAGACUUGAGGGAAGUAGAGGUACAGGGAAUUUCCGGUGGAGCGGUGAAAUGCGUAGAUAUCGGAAGGAACACCAAUAUGGCGAAGGCACUGUACUGGGCUUUACCUGACGCUAAGAGACGAAAGCUAAAGGAGUGAUUAGGAUUAGAUACCCUAGUAAUUUUAGCCAUAAACGAUGGAAACUCACUGCCGAGCCGGUAUUCGGAGCGGUGGUCAAGCUAACGCGUGAAGUUUCCCGCCUGGGGAUUACGCAUGCAAAUGUGAAACUCAAAGGAAUUGACGGGGACCCGCACAAGCGGUGGAGUAUGUGGUUUAAUUCGAUGCAACGCGAAAAACCUUACCAAGGUUUGAAAUCAUUCUAAAACUCUUUGAAAGAAGAGCCUCCUUCGGGAUAGAAUGACAGGUGGUGCAUGGCUGUCGUCAGCUCGUGUUGUGAAAUGUCAAGUUAAGUCUUGUAACGAGCGCAACCCAUGUCUUUUGUUGCUGUUUACAGUGCUUAAAAGAGACUGCCGCUCUACAGCGGAGGAAGGUGUGGAUGAUGUCAAGUCAGCAUGCCCCUUAUAUCUUGGGCUACACACGUACUACAAUGGUAGGGACAAUGAGUCGCAAACCUGCGAAGGCUAGCCAAUCUCAAAAACCCUAUCUCAGUUCGGAUUGUAC
rnacentral:rRNA from 1 species